rnacentral:rRNA from 1 species
AUAGGCAAUAGAAAAGGUGCUUGGUGCAAGAGAUUUGUAUUGUAAGGCAACGAUGAAAUAGUAAUGAAAACGCAAGCAAUAAAUAGCAAAGAUAAACCCUUGUACCUCUUGCAUCAUGAUUUAGCAAGAACAACGAAAUGAAUUUAAGCUUGCCGUCUGAAAACCCAAGUGAGCUACUUACAAGCAGCUAUCACUGAGUGAACCCGUCUCUGUUGCAAAAGAAUGGGAUGACUUGUUAGUAGAGGUGAAAAGCCAAUCACGCUGGGUGAUAGCUGGUUGCCUGUGCAAUGAGGCCAAGUCCUCUCUCAAUUUUCCUCCACAGACAUUCAAUCUAGGCCCUGUGUAGUAAAUCACGAGCAAUUUAAAGGGGAUGCAGCUCCUUCAGAAAAGAACACAAUCUCCCCUAGCAGAUAACUACUCAACUCUCAGUCCCCACACUGUAGGCCUUUAAGCAGCCACCCACAAAGAGUGCUUCAAAGCUCCACACCAGAAGUCCAGAAACAAUAAGACUCCCUUAUCACCAACAGGCCAACCUAUAAUAAUAGGAGAAUUAAUACUAAAAUGAGUAACUAGGGGCCUCCCCCUCUCAAGCACAAGCUUACAUCAUCACAUUAUUAACAGAUUACAAAUAAUAUCUCAAUUUUAACAGGAUUCGAUAUUAAACCCACCCUGUUAACCCAACUCAGGAGUGUCUAUUAGAAAGACUAAAAUCUGUAAAAGGAAUUAGGCAAACUCAAGGCCCGACUGUUUACCAAAAACAUAGCCUUCAGCUGACCAAGUAUUGAAGGUGAUGCUUGUCCUAACCCUAACUGUCUCUUACAGAUAACCAGUGAACUUGAUCUUCCCAUGAAAAAGCAGGAAUAUAUAAAGAUGAGAAGACCCUGUGGAACCUAAAAGUCAGCAGUCACUACACACAAGCUCAAGCCCACCAGGUUCACUACCCCCUCCACCCCAAAAUGUUGGCCUGCAUUUUUUGGUUGAGGCGACCUUGUAGAAAAACAAAUCCUGCAAAAAUGAGACCACACCUCUUAACCAAGAGCAAUCCCUCAAAGUACUAAUAGUGACCAGACCCACUGUGGUCGACCAAUGGACCAAGCUACCCAGGGAUAACAGCGCAAUCUCCUCCAAGAGUCCAUAUAGACAAGGAAGUUUACGACCUAAAGAUGCAGCUGCUAUUAAGGGUUCGUUUGUUCAAUGGUUACCAGUCUUACGUGAGCUGAGUUCAGACUGGAGCAAUCCAGGUCAGUUUCUAUCUAUGAUGAACUUUCCCUAGUA